rnacentral:rRNA from 1 species
UGCAAGUCGAGCGCCUCGCAAGAGGAGCGGCAGACGGGUGAGUAACGCGUGGGAACUACCCAUCACUACGGAACAACUCCGGGAAACUGGAGCUAAUACCGUAUACGACCGAGAGGUGAAAGAUUUAUCGGUGAUGGAUGAGCCCGCGUUGGAUUAGCUAGUUGGUGGGGUAAAGGCCUACCAAGGCGACGAUCCAUAGCUGGUCUGAGAGGAUGAUCAGCCACAUUGGGACUGAGACACGGCCCAAACUCCUACGGGAGGCAGCAGUGGGGAAUAUUGGACAAUGGGCGCAAGCCUGAUCCAGCCAUGCCGCGUGAGUGAUGAAGGCCCUAGGGUUGUAAAGCUCUUUCACCGGAGAAGAUAAUGACGGUAUCCGGAGAAGAAGCCCCGGCUAACUUCGUGCCAGCAGCCGCGGUAAUACGAAGGGGGCUAGCGUUGUUCGGAAUUACUGGGCGUAAAGCGCACGUAGGCGGACAUUUAAGUCAGGGGUGAAAUCCCAGAGCUCAACUCUGGAACUGCCUUUGAUACUGGGUGUCUUGAGUAUGGAAGAGGUGAGUGGAAUUCCGAGUGUAGAGGUGAAAUUCGUAGAUAUUCGGAGGAACACCAGUGGCGAAGGCGGCUCACUGGUCCAUUACUGACGCUGAGGUGCGAAAGCGUGGG